rnacentral:rRNA from 1 species
GACAGAGGGGGCAAGCGUUGCUCGGAAUCACUGGGCGUAAAGGGCGCGUAGGCGGCGUGGUAAGUCAGCUGUGAAAUCUCCGAGCUUAACUCGGAACGGUCAGCUGAUACUGCUGUGCUAGAGUACAGAAAGGGCAAUCGGAAUUCUUGGUGUAGCGGUGAAAUGCGUAGAUAUCAAGAGGAACACCUGAGGCGAAGGCGGGUUGCUAGGCUGAUACUGACGCUGAGUGCGCGAAAGCUAGGGGAGCAAACGGG